rnacentral:rRNA from 1 species
GCAGCCGCCACGGGAAUACGAAGGGGGCUAGCGUUGUUCGGAAUUACUGGGCGUAAAGCGCACGUAGGCGGCUUGGUAAGUUAGAGGUGAAAGCCCGGAGCUCAACUCCGGAAUUGCCUUUAAGACUGCCGAGCUAGCAGGUGAGAGAGGUAAGUGGAAUUCCGAGUGUAGAGGUGAAAUUCGUAGAUAUUCGGAAGAACACCAGUGGCGAAGGCGGCUUACUGGCUCAUACUGGACGCUGAGGUGCGAAAGCGUGGGGAGCAAACAGGAUUAGAUACCCCUGUAGUCCCUGUCUCUUAUAC